UGAUAAAGUGAGAACCACACCCCAGACA
rnacentral:piRNA from 1 species